CCAGGGGUGGACCUGUCCAGAGCCCAUGUUUUUUCUGCAACAACAAAAUCGCAAGAGCCAGUGACAGAGCUCAAGUGACUGCUCUUCCAUGUGAGAGAUGGAGAGGAGAGAAGAAAAUGCUCUACUUUCACAUCAUGGCUCCCAGCCAGCCAGCGACGCAGGGAUCUGUGAAGCCCAAGGCCUCCCUGGCUAUUAUUUCUCUUUGUUAUUAUUUCUGAAACAAGACCUGGGCAGAAUCAAUUCAGGCGCAGAAAGACUAUUACUUUAAUUUUCGACAAGAAAUUGUCAGGAUGCCCGAGUUAGAAGAGACGACAGGCAGCCAUCAUCUAGGCUGAAGUGAAAUGAAUGCAUUUAAUGAAGCAAAGGACAUCUGUAUUAGCAAACUCCACUCAUGAGACAAAAUACGUCUUUUGGCACAAACUCUUUAGAGUUUAAAAAAACAAAAACAAAGACCAGGAACGCAAAUGAUGACAUAAUGCCCUUGAAAACAAGCUCUCUCCGAAGCCUUAGGAAGUCAACCAGAUAGAUCAGAGAGAAUUAAUUUUAUUCAAUACAAAUGGAUUUUUGAAAGCUCUUAAUUAGACUUUGUCCUAAAAUAAGUGAUUUUUCAUAAAAAAUUAAUUUACAUUCUUCCCUCCUUAAGUAACUGACAUACAAUUUUGUUCCCCCAAAAUGGAGAAGCCAGGCUGCCCAGCAAUGGUGAAGGGCUAUUUUAUGAGUGUGUUUUCCACUGGCCACACACAUCCCCUCUCUACCAAAUAUGAGAAGAACAGCACAAGAAUCCAAGCAAGCUGGUGAUAGCAUUUAUGUGAGUGAAGACCCCUAGCUAAUAUUCACGGUAUUCAUGGUCUGGAGGGAUAUGACGUCACUGUAGAGCUCUCCGUCUCUGUGGCCAGUGCAUACUGGAUAUGGCAUCUGCAAGGGCCCAGGUCAUCCUUGUGAUUAUUUUACCCUGAGAGAUAAAAUAAACCUAUUUUUGUCA